rnacentral:rRNA from 1 species
AGUAACGCGUGAGGAACCUGCCUCAAAGAGGGGGACAACAGUUGGAAACGACUGCUAAUACCGCAUAAGCCCACAGCUCGGCAUCGAGCAGAGGGAAAAGGAGUGAUCCGCUUUGAGAUGGCCUCGCGUCCGAUUAGCUAGUUGGUGAGGUAAUGGCCCACCAAGGCAACGAUCGGUAGCCGGACUGAGAGGUUGAACGGCCACAUUGGGACUGAGACACGGCCCAG